rnacentral:piRNA from 1 species
UAGUGAAUUUACCUGCCAUGAUUUUACUGC